rnacentral:lncRNA from 1 species
UAUUUCUUAGAGCUGAAGCGAAGUUCCCAGCUCUGGUUUCUAUUUUCUAUAUAAUAGAGUAUACGCUGCUGUUUCGUUCCUUACCCGAUCGAGCAUCGACGACACUUCUCAAUUCCUCUCGCCGUUCAUUUUCAAUGCCCUAAGUACCGAAUAUGUGUUAAAUAUCCUUUCUUCCAUAGGCAAUGAGCUACCUGUGGCUCAAUUCAACGGUAGUGUAAUUUACUGCUUCUUCUUUUUUUACCACUCUGUUUUUUUUUUCCGGUUCAAAGAUGACAUGACACCUGUAAUUAUUUUCAUAUCGCGUUUUUUCCGAUUUGCAGUAACGCCCUUGUGUUCUUCUCGUCGAGUUCAUCCAUGUUAGAGUUGACCGUAAACUAAGGGCUUUUUCUACCGCCGAUCCGUCAACUUCUCUCAGCAUCUUUCUUCCUUAACCAGCUUGUACAGGUAAAUAUACCAUUUCUUUUAUCGAAUUGAAUUCUGCUUACAUCAGUUCAAAAUUAGAAAACCGAAAAUUAUUGAAUAGAAUUUUGACGAAACCUAUUACAUAGAUUCCGCCUCAUCCUGCUCACAAAAACAAAAAUUAAUUACUGAAAAGAAGUGUAAAAUGACAAAGUUGUUCCUCUUUCCCAAGGAUUAUUAACAAGGUUAUUGCUAAAAUGGAAAACAAGAGCUUAUCAAGUUUAAACUAAACACAUGUUUUACUUAAUACCCAUUUUGUAGUGAAAUGAACCAAAAAGUUUAUAUGUAUCUAAUUCAGGAAUUAUAUCCUUGUACUGUUAUCCCAUCAUUUUAAUAACAGAACUUUUCCCACAAAGUAAAUGAACCCAAGUAACUUUUAUUUUACCUAUAUUGAAAAUAAAAUUAUAAAAAUACAAUCAAAUGAAGGAUAAUAUAAUACCAAAAUCAAUACCUAGAUUAGUUUUUAUAUUUGAUAAACAAAUGAAUAAAAUAAAAUAAUGAUAUUUUAUCGAUUGAAAGACUCGCGACUCGGUGUCAUGUUUAAUCGGAGACCUCGCAAGUGAGGUCACUUUUUCCUAUCCUAACCCAUAUGAAACUUUCUAAUGCCUUGGACUAAAAUUCAAAGUGUUGGUAAAAUAACUUUCAGUCCUGAUAUUACGUUAGCGUUUAGAUAUAGAUUUGAUUGAUACUUGUAAAAAGUAAUUUUGAAAUUGUGUCAAAAAAUAAUUUUGUAAGUUGAAGUUGUGUUUGAACAUGCAUUAAGUUUAGUGAGUGAAAGAAAAAAUUUCACCCAAAAACUGUUCUAAACUAGUUAUCGGGAACUUGAUUUUUUUUUUCUUUCUAAAAUUGAUCAUGUUCUAUGAACAAACAGUGUUUUCAAUUUUUUUUUAAAAAAAUAUGCCCAAAAUUAUGGCCAAACGGGUGCUAGAUAACUCAACUUUAGAUAUAGAUGUACCUCUGAUACUAUAUAAUGUAAAAUGAUAUUGAAAAACUCAAUGCUAUAAACUAAAAAUUCUCAACAAGAACAACUUGUAAAACAAUAAACAAACCCUUGGAAUUCAUUUGCUUUCCAAAAAAUUAUGUUAUUACAAUGUUUGGAUAGCAUUAUUGAAUUAAUAAUUUCUGACUUAUUUGGUACUUAAAAUUUGUUUGGUACAUUUCAUUAAAUAUGAGGUAUACUGUGUAUUAUUCAAAACACGCGUGUGGUUUAAAUUUGAGAUAAUUAUUUCCAAAAAUAAAUUUUUGAGAUAAAUUUUGAGAGCUUUAGUAGAAGGACAUUUUAUUAUUUUACUUCUUUUUAAUACGAGAAUAACUAAUUCUUGAAUUGUUAUCCCACAUUGCAUGUGUUAUAAAAUUAUACCACGUGAUCGAUAUGAAAUUUUACCUAUCUGUAUUACUUAUAUUGCAAAUAAAAAUGCACCCAAACAAAGGAUACAAUAAUAUCAAAAUUUAUAUCGAGAUUAAGUUUUAUAAUCUGAUAACAAAUGUUGCGGCCAAACGCACAUGCAAGUAUACGUGGUCGUCAAGUAAUAAAGUGACUAAAAGUCGGAUGUUGAACCCACAAGGACUUGUGAUUAACUAGUAACUAUUGUUAUGAGCUAUCUAACAUUCCUAUUAUAUUUUUCAAUUGAAUUGACUAACUAAUUCAUCUAGUUCAUUGGUUCACAGGUUUAAUAUUGCUCAUAAGAAUCUGUCGAGUUCUUACUCGCUUAUGCAAGCUAACCUAACACUUAUAUGUCUAUAGAUAUAGAACUAACAAGAAUGCAUUUAUAAUUCUUGUACAUUAACCAAGCAAGACAAUUAGGUAUAUGUCUAUCCUAACUGCGAAUUCGUUCCCCGAUGCCCAGGUUUAUGAACUUGCUCUACUCAAUUCUAUGUGCAAUCUAGAAUUCCUACUUUCGAGUUCAAUUCUAGAUUUGUAGAUAAUAUUCAAUUGGUGAUGAAACAAUUAAAUAAUUGAGCGCAAGAUUCAAUAAAUAAACCAAUAUGAUAAAUCAAGAAAAUAAAAUCAAUAUUCGAAUAACAAUAGUCAGGAAAGAACCACAACCCUGGAACGUGAAGUUUAAAUCCACAUCGACAUGGUAACCAAACAACAAAUUCUGCAAAGAAACAUAAAAAUUACUAAGUUUGGCGGAAGAAAGAUGGAAUUUCGACAUCCACGGCGGCUCUGUGCUUAUGUUUUCCUCUCAAAAAUAUCCUCCACUCCGAAAUAGGUUUAGGACCCCUUUUAUAUGAUUGGGGGCGUGUAGGGCCGAAAUAACCUGCCGCCGAGCAAACUAGGAAAAGUGCCGCCUCCAGCGUUCAGAGGCGCUGCCCCUGGCGCAGAAUCCAGUAUCGUUUUUGCCUUGAAUUCUUGCGCUUUCCAAGUCUCCGGCUUCUUUGUAAAUGUUACGCUGCUUCAUUCUUUGUAGUGCGUGCCUAACUUUUGCUUUUCCUUAAUUCUUUCAAGUUGUUGCUCUAUGUCAUUUUCUUUCUAACGUUUUCAUCCGUAAUGAACAUCACCUAAUCACUUGGUCUCCCCACCUCUUAGUACAACAUGUAAUAUUAAUGAGAUACUCCAAGACAAAAUCCCAACUCAAGAAAUUAUCUUCUCAGUGUUUAUUUGCAUGAAUCACUCGAGCUCGUGUUUAUACCAAUGUUGUAUGCCACGCUUUGACUCCAACUUUUGUCAUUUUUGAUCCAAAUUCCACCUCUUAGGUACCUAUAUCAUUUAUUAACAUUCAAAUAAGUGUAAAACUCUAUAAUCAAGCUAAGUGAAGCAUAUCUAAUAUCAAAUAUAAUCAAAGAGCGGUAAAAAUACAGGAAAAUUAGUGUCAAAAUAUAUGAAAAUAUGCCCAACAUCAACAAACGAACAAAGUAAACCUAGGACAUUUUCUUGAUGAAAUACUCGCAAUGUAAUUUGAUGUUUAAUUGGAGACCCCGCGCAGGAGACCACAUUUGUUCUGUCCUAACUAAUGUGAAACUUUCUGACGUCUUGGAAGAAAAAUUUAGAGCGUUUAUAAGAUAACAUGCGGGUUAUAAUCUUAGAUAAUCCUACUUUAAAGAUGGAUUGAUGUAACUUUGUUGAUAUGUUACGAAAAAUAAAGGCGAAAUAGUUGAACAUUGCAUUUAAGUUGUCCAUAACGAUCAGAUAGACACCUCAAAUGAUCCCUUUACCAUUUGACACCUCCUCUCCACUGAAGUUUAACUCAUGAAUCCCUCAUGAUAACAUAGUGAAGCGUGUGCUUUUUAUUCGUAUCUGCUUUUUAUUCGUAUCUGAGCGCUUGAACUUAACCGUACUCUAUGUGGACCUCACUUACCUUCAUCUCUACUUCUCCUUCUUUAAAAUUUUCACCAAAGAUUAAAAAUAAGAAAAAAUAAAGCAUUUUCCAGGCCUCGUGCGCUCACAGGCAAAAGAUUGGCAAAAAUUGGCGGACCAUAGAUGAUAAACAAGAAUAAAACAAGUCAUGGCAGCCGCGCCCAUUCCUUUCUCCCCUUUUCAUUGGUUAGUCGCCGCCGUCACCCGAAAUCCCAUGAGCUGUCCAGUUGGCAACCCCACUCCCUCUUCUUUUCUUUAACUUCUUCAAACUACCAUCACCACUAGUCCCGACCAGCAAAACGCCUGAAGCAGUGAACAAACAAACCCACUGAAAAACCUUCGUCGUCGACUAGGCCGGAAAAUGGCGACGAUUGCCGGCCUUUACUCCCGCUCCAAACAUGAACCUAAUUUUCAGUUCACUUACUAUGUUCACAUUGUUCUUCAGCUAGUUAUCGCUUUUCCUUUCUUCCUCCUGAUAUUUUUUUCUGUUCUCUACUCUCGUUGCUUCUUCUAUGUAGUUGUUUCCCUAUUGUAGUAAUAGGCUUAAUUAUUGGAAGCCAUGAGAACUCUACCAUGUUCAUUUCAGCUGUCGAUUCAAUUAGCGGCAAAGGUGUAAUUUGGGAAGCAAUAUAAUCUGUUGCUUAGAAGUGUCGAAGUAAGAAACUGGAUUUGGGAAUAAAGGUAUAGUUUGGGGAUUGAAGGAUGACUGGUUUGAAAAAAGUGCAGAGAGAGAUGAUUUUGGGAGGAAUUACCACUGAUGGUGAGAGGAGGGCUGGUCCUAUCGAACCAGACACUGAAUAUCUAGGAAUUAAUCACGGGUUAGGGCUUUCGAAUCAAAGCAUGGGCAUAUGCUAUUAAGAGGGAGCAAUAGAUCUAUCUUAUUUUUUAGUCACGUGUCAACUACUAAUUAGUUCUUAAAAUAGUUUCAAAAAGUAUAUUGCACGCGAUGGGAGAUGACUAGGUCAGUUUGUAUACUUAUUGUUGGAAAAAACUUAAAGGGGCUGUUUAUAUAUUUCGCCAAAAAUAAAUUUUAAACGUAGCUCAACUCUAAAAACUAGUUCACCAGGCGAUAAUAGUUCAUAACUCUAAAAUGGAAUUAUAACAUCCCUAGACCAAAUCUGCUCUAAGUAGAUUCUAGUUUUGAUAAACUAAAGAACGUCUCGUAUCUAGUUUUUUUUUUUCUUUUCUUUUCAUUCUGUAAUGUUAAUGCUAACUCUUGAGGUAUGCGUAAGUAAACGUGAUUUCGCACAUGUAAUAUACGAUGUGUAUGAUAUUAUUCCAUGAGAAAUGUGUGUUAAAUUAAAUGAGCUAAUGAUUAAAAGUUACUUAAUUUUCCAGGAAUGGGUGCAUGAUUAACUUGAAACAAGAAUGAUUAAUCUAAACUGUUCAACCGAAAAAAAAGAAGAUAAAUCUAAAACUAAAAAAAUGAAAACUUAAGAAAUUUCCCAGAAUGCAAAGAGUUCAAGCGUUUAAGGAAGUUGAUAAAUAGAGCUAUAAUUUUCCUUGCAAUUCAGUUAGGGAAACAUACGCAAAUGUUACAUAUAAGUCCCAAUUUACCAACCUCUAUCCAUUAAUCAUAUACUUACCAAAACUAGUCAAGUACAUAUUAAAAUUGAAAACCCAAAUAAAUAAGAUUCUUUCUCUCCAAGAAUCACACGCAAAGAUUUUCUUCUAUAUUUUAAAGCAUGAUUAGCAACAUUAGAUGCAAGACGGAAAGGAAAUUUCAUGGAUGAUGCAGCAAAUAAGGUGAUAAAAUACAAAAAAAAGAAUGACAAUUUCCAAAAAUCUAAGCAAAAAGGACAUUUUUCAAUGGGUAUGGUUGAAAUUCAUUGAAAACAUAUAGACGAGUCAAUAUACAAAAUUUGAGAAAGAUUAGAGGUGAUUUGAUAUCAAAAUUCAUAGUUAAAAUCGAGUUCAAAAAUUCUUCUACGACACAUGUAUCAAACAUGUAUGACGUCUGUAUCUCACAAAUAGGUAUACAUGGAUAUACAUGUGAUACGCAAUUGAUACAAAUACGAUACAUAUGUGAUACACACAUCAUUUUUUUCAUGUUCACCUUCUACUUAGAAUUUUCAAUUCAAACCGCCUCAAAACUCCACCAAAUCAUCCCAAAACUGAGAAUCAAGCUUCUUAAGAUGUACUCAAUCUAUUCUAAUAACAGUCACUCAAGAAAGCAAAAAAUUAACUUUUUUGGGGUACAAAUAGUUAAUUGGUUAGUAUUAGUAAUAUUUAGCUAAUAUUAGUAAUAAUUUAUAAAUUGGCCAAUUUUUGUAAGAAUCUACUCAUAAAUGUAAAUAGCGGGUGGUUUACCAUUCAGUUAUGGUUCUAUUUUAUGUUAAUCAACUAGAGGAUUCUCUAUAUUUUAUGAAAUAGAAUUAACAUAAAUGUAUUACUCCAUAUAUGUCAAUUUAUAUAGCAUAGUUUAACUGUAUAUGGUAUUUAAGUAAGAAAGAAUUUUUUUUAAAACUUUGCUCUUAAAUAUACCAUACUAUUUGUAUGACUGUUUAACUUUUGAAAUUUAUAUUCUUAAAUAAUUCAUGACAUAUGUGAUUAUAAAAAAUUUCAUUAGGGUAAAAUGAAAAGUUCAAGUAAAAUUAUAUUUUUUUGUUUAAGAAAGUGUCAUUUUUUUUAGAAUGCACUAAUAAGAAAAUAGUUUAUUCUUCCUGAAAAGAAGAAAGUAUAUUUUUGGAAUUAAUUAUUACAUAAGAUGAGCAAGUAUAUGUCUAAUUACUCAUGAAUCAUUUCCCUGAUUCCUAAGUUUAUGGAAUUACAUCAUUCAAUUAAAAACUCCAAGUUCUCUUUUUCAAAUUCAACCUAAAUUCCAUAAAAGGUGCCCAAUUAUCAACCAUCAGUAAACUAACAGAUAAGAUUGAAUAUAUAUAUAAAUCUUAAAAGCAAAAUCACUUCAUCGAAUAAAACUAUGAACCACAUUGUUAAUAUCAUGUUCAACAAUUAACUUUGUAAAAAAGUUCUAGUAGCUAGACAUCGUUUAUAUAAGCAAGUUGUUGGACUGUUACAGAAGAAAGAAUUAAUCAGGAGAAUUAAUAUACAACAAUAAACACAACUGUUAUAAAAAUUAAAUCAGAUGUUACAAAAUUUAGUUAAGGGGAAUAACCUGGACAUAUUCCGAUAAGCAUGUAUUUACAUACUUUUCUAGUAAGCUCAAAAUGUAAAAAUAAUUUUAGCAAAUUCCGAUUUGGAUUGGCCUCAUUUAUAUCUCGCUCGUAGAGGAGGGGGAGGGGAGGACAAUGCGAGAGACCACCCCUUUUACUUGCUCUUGAUAAGUCCAAUGAAGAAUAAUUUAAUAUAAAGAGAAGAAAGGAGCGCUUCCUCACCGAUGAGAAACUUUUGUUAAGUGAGGGAAAAAAAAACCUCAAAAAAGAUCUUUGACUUUACAUUACCAAAUACUAAUAAGGGGUAUUGUCAUUUCUAGGCCACGCCAGAAACUAUUUAUAUUCAGUAGUCGAAAAAGUGUAUAAAAUUUGUAUAAUUUUUGUAUAUAAUAUACAAAAUAUAUAUAUAUAUACAAGAAAAUAUAUUUUUUUUUGUUAUUAUUUUGAGAACGACUAUACAGUGUCAUUUUCCCUACUAUAGACGCCAUCCAACCUCGCCGUUUUCUUUCCUGAAACUUAGUUUGAAAAUGAAAACUGCCAACCUAUCAGGCCAAGCUUCUAGGACACUAGUUGUGACUUUGAAAAUGAGUACGUGAUUAACCUCUGUUGACUUCGUGUCUUGAAUUCUGAUGGAUCUAAUUUGCGAACUGACCCUGAAAAGCUUGUAGUGCGACUCAAAAUUGGAGAUAAAAAGGAAAAUAUGUGUUGAUAGCAGAGUUCGAGGCCCAAUAUUCUUAGUUUGCCAUCUCAGCUCGAACAUACAUACGAUAAGUUCCAAGGCAAACACGGCAUGUGAUGACAAAGUUACAGUGUUUCUAAGUAUCAUCUUUUAUAAUGUAAUUUUUAUACACAAAUAAAAAUGAACAUUUAAGUAAAAUUAUUUUUUGAGAUAUUACCGAGACACAAACUGGUUCUUUACUAUUGACAAAGGGCAAGACAGCCCUCAGAUAUAUUGGCCAAACACAGGCCUUUGGACUCUUAUAGCACUUAUCUGAUCAUUCAUUUUUUCAAAGUUGUUCUGAAACUAAGGAAAUUUGAAAAUUUUAGCCAAACAAAACAUCUGUUCUGCUAUGGAAACAAGAGGUAGUGACAGGCAAUUUUUGCAUUAAGGUCUGCCACCACUCGGUUUGCAUCACCCUGUUGUAGAAAGACUUGGAAUAAACAAUGGCUUCUCAUAAAACCUUCAAUUUACAUAGUCAUUCAGAUGGUGCCACUAGAUAGAGUUUUCGAGACACUGCAAGUAUCUCCUUAUUGCUCCUCACACAACUUUUCAGUAUUUCAACUAUAGCAGGAGACAAGCAUACAAUGCAUAGUACUCCCUAGUUAGAUGUAGCAGAUAAAAUUUAUCAACAUACAAUAGAACACCACGUAGUAGUAGUCGUAGUACUUCCCUAGUUAGAUGUAGCAGAUAAAACUUGGGCAGGACUAGUCCCAAGCCUAGAGAGACUGGCUGCUCUGCUAUAAUAUAUUGGGAAGGCUGCUAUUUUCUUGAGCUUUGAUAUGAUGUGUGUGAUGCCGCCUUCAUUAUGUCUAGAGAAAGUACAGGGUCUCUCUCUGUUGUCCACAAUCCAUAGGGGUUGGUGCAAUGUUAUUGAGAUCCACUGCCAUCUCAUUUGCUUCUUUCUUCUUGAUGCUACCUAUCUGUAAAACCACAUAAGUCAAUCACACAAAUAUAUCCCCACAAUUAUAUGUUUUUUAGCAGAACUGCAGCUUUAUCAGUCAGCAAAUCAUACCUCGUCAUCCAGAACUUUGUUUUCUUCUAUCAGCAGCUUCUCCUGCAAAUAGAGUUUCAUGUUAUGUCUAGCACACUAAAUGUAACACCUAUGUUAAGAAAAUGCUAAUAAGUAGGACACACGAAUAUUUAUACAGUCCUCGGUUGAUAAAUAGGGGAUCAAAACUUGAAAUUUUUAUAAAACUAAAUAGAGCUGUAGACAGCAAGAUGAUCUACUAGUGAGAACUUGAAAGGGUAAACCAACUCCAUGAUAUGCUCAACUCCGUAACAAGUCCCUUGUUAAGAGCUGCAUGGAUGCACUUGUUUCAGGAAAAACUGAAGCCAAAAGUAGGGAUUUUGGUUGACAAUCAAAUGAUAGCAUAUCCUUGUCCAGAUGAUCAACUAUCUGCCUAAGUUCAUUUUCAGAGAAGUCAGCAGCCUUACAUCUUCGUACACCCUUUCAGGAGACUGGAGAAUCUUGAUUGAAUAGAAUCAGAUGAAGCAUUUUAAAAGCAAGAUGGCAAACUCAGAAAAGUUACUCUCAAAUUUAGGUGUUCUGUACUGGUCUCGACUCGAGUAUUUUUUCAGUCUAGCAGUGGGGUUCUUCUGGACCUAGGUAAAUCCAAAACUCUAAUUUGGAAACAUUUUGUUGAGUAAACAACCUCAAAAUUAUGAUCAUGGCAUGCAAGCACUACUCCUAACAUGAAAGUAAGGAUGAGUACAGCAUUCCAGGUAUGAUUCGACAAUUCAGAAAAAGAGUUUUACAGAGUUGAGAUGGAUAUAAGAUGGCUAUAUUAUAGACAUUUAACUGAGUUGAGAAUCAAGGAUAAAAGCCACAAGGACACCAUGACUUCUAUUCGAUUCAAUGACAGCAACGGAUAAGGGGGGAUGCUUGAUGGGGGAUGCUUGAUGGGGGAUGCUUGAUGGGGGAUGCUUGAUGAAUUUUAAGGUCUCGAUCUAUCGCCUUCAAUGAGAGAUAACCUCUUCGACUUAUCAUGUCUUAAGCUCUUGCUGUGUAGUAAAAGGCAAAAAGCAUUAAAAAGCACUUCGGUAUCGCGGCAUUAAGCCCAAAGCGCAAAGUAUUGGCUUUAGAUACUAAAGGCUCAAUGAAGGAAAAAAAAAAUAAAAAUAUAUGUAAUGCAAGAGUAAGUAACCACUUCACUCAUAAUGAACUCCUUAACAAUUAGUCUUUUUGCAAAUGACAUUUGCUAUUUCGAAUCUAUUCGAGAUAGAACUUAUGUGCGAUAAGGCACAUGCAUUAGUGCCUUGCCUACACUUAAACGCAGCCUAUGUGAGGCGAAGCCCUACCCUGCGCUUCUCUGAGCUUCAGGGCUUAAAAGCGCCUCAAAUGAGCCUUUGUUAACACUGAGCUCUUGACAUCAGGGAAAUACCCGCGUGUGGAGAAAGCAGCAGAUGCCAUAUUUAUCAAGCUAUGUUGCGCGGACUCUCCAAAAUGUAGCCGCACCCGUACCGGAUCCUUAAAAAAUGCACUACUUUUGGAGGAUCCGACACGUAUCCGGCCAUAUUUUCGGAGAGUCCAAGCAACAUAGUUACCAAGUGCAUCAACCGAUGAGAUUGGAAAGGAAUCAAAUCUGCAAAGGUGCUCUACAUAUUCAUUGAGAAAAUAAGCAAACAUGCUCAGGAAAAAUGGAGGCCUACCUUGUCAUGAAGAUUCUUAAUUGAUUCAAUCAACAAGUGUGUCUGCAAAUAACAAAACUAGGUUAGCAGUUUAGAUUUUCUUCCUGAUUUACAACUCAAAAAAAAAAAAAAAAAAAAUUGUAUUACAGGAGUCGAAGAGUAAGAAGAUGCAGAGAAUUAAAAACAAAAGAAAAAGAUUAAAUCUAGGAUUGGGUAAAAAUGAUCAAAACACUCCAUGCGGAGUUGCAUUGUUUAUGAAAUACAACUGAUGUAGCGCCACGCCAACAGACUUCUCCAGCUUCAAGUACCACUUAUGUAAAGCUUUAAGCUUCAAGAAGGGCAGCUGUUCCUAAAGAACACAAUGCUACAGCUAGAGUAACAGAUGGAGCAAGUCUAGGCAUGAGUAAGAAGCACAGAGGAAUGUGGAAGAUCCAACC